rnacentral:rRNA from 1 species
UACGAAGGGUGCAAGCGUUACUCGGAAUUACUGGGCGUAAAGCGUGCGUAGGUGGUUUGUUAAGUCUGUUGUGAAAUCCCCGGGCUCAACCUGGGAAUGGCAUUUGGGACUGCAAGGCUUGAGUGCGGCAGAGGAGACUGGAAUUCCUGGUGUAGCAGUGAAAUGCGUAGAUAUCAGGAGGAAUACCGAUGGCGAAGGCAGGUCUCUGGGCUGACACUGACGCUCAUGCACGAAAGCGUGGGGAGCAAACAGG